rnacentral:tRNA from 1 species
GCCCGAGUGGUGGAAUUGGUAGACACACAGGACUUAAAAUCCUGCGGUUUUAUUAAAACUGUGCCAGUUCAAGUCUGGCCUCGGGCACCA